rnacentral:lncRNA from 1 species
UAAGCAUAGUACGCCUUACAUCUUCGUCAAUAUAGUCAAACAUCUUUCGUCAUUGCAUGCAUUAUUGUUUUAGUAAAUUGGAACAUUUGGUUGGUAUGCCUAUUAUUCAGUAUCGUCAUUGUGUAGUUUGCUCUAUUAUUGAUGCGACUUAAUGUAUCACAGACGCAUGACUUGCAUCUUUUCAGUAUCAUUUUUGAAAUAAAGAGCAGCCAUAUCUAAUUUCUAGUUUCAACAUAGAUAAUAAAUACCAAAUUGAAGUUCUCUAUUCAGGUG